CGGCAACAGCUCAAAUUUGAAAUCUGGACCUAGUCCCGAGUUGUAAUUUGCAGAGGAUGAUUUUGGCGCGGUGCCUUCCAAGUUCCCUGGGACGGGACGCCGGAGAGGGUGAGAGCCCCGUCAGGUUGGACACCAAGCCUAUGUAAAUCUCCUUCGAC
rnacentral:rRNA from 1 species